AGUGAACGCUGGCGGUAGGCCUAACACAUGCAAGUCGAACGGCAGCACAGUAAGAGCUUGCUCUUACGGGUGGCGAGUGGCGGACGGGUGAGGAAUACAUCGGAAUCUACUUUUUCGUGGGGGAUAACGUAGGGAUACUUACGCUAAUACCGCAUACGACCUACGGGUGAAAGCAGGGGAUCUUCGGCCCUUGCGCGAUUGAAUGAGCCGAUGUCGGCUUAGCUAGUUGGCGGGGUAAAGGCCCACCAAGGCGACGAUCCUUAGCUGGUCUGAGAGGAUGAUCAGCAACACUGGAACUAAGAAGCGGGCCAGCCGCCUACGGGAGGCAGCAGUGAGAAAUAUUGGACAAUGGGCGCAAGCCUGAUCCAGCCAUACCGCGAGAGUGAAGAAGGCCUUCGGGUUGUGAAGCCCUUUUGUUGGGAAAGAAAAGAAGCAGGUUAAGACCCCGCUGUUCUGACGGUACCCAAAGAAAAAGCACCGGCUAACUGCGG
rnacentral:rRNA from 1 species